GUCCCCAGGCACACAGGGAGGUGGGGAAACUGGGAAAGGUGGGGAAACUGGGAAAGGUGGGAAAGCUGGGAAAGGUGGCAGCUGGGGAAACUGGGAGUUAGGAAAGCUGGAAAAGCUGGGAGAUGGGAAAGGUGGGAAUUGGAAAAGGUGGGAGCUGGAAAAAUUUGGAGCAGGGAAAGCUGGGAAUUGGUGAAGCUGAGAGCUGGGAAAGCUGGGAGCAGGGAAAGCUGGAAGAUGGAAAAAUUUGGAGCAGGGAAAGGUGGGAGCUGGAAAAGAUGGGAGCAGGGAAAGGUGGAAAAGCUGGGAGUUGGGAAAGAUGGAAGAUGGAAAAGCUGGGAAAGCUGGAAGAUGGAAAAGGUGGGAGCAGGGAAAGGUGGGAGCUGGAAAAGGUGGGAGCAGGGAAAGGUGGAAAAGCUGGGAGUUGGGANNNNNNNNNNNNNNNNNNNNGCCAUUCCAGGAGCAGCAGAUCCGGGCUGGGAGGAGCAGGGAAGGACGGAGAUGUGCCCUGGAAGGGGAGGCAGAGCCGGGAUCCUCGGGGAGUUGGUUAUUUAUAACCACAGCCCUCGCCGCGCUGCAGGAGAAGCCGGGAUGGGGCGGGCCGGGGAUUCCUCGGGAUGAAAGGAGCUGGGAAACGGCGGCCAGGAGGGGCUGGCAGGGUGGGGACUGCCAUUGUCACCCGCCAGCUGUGCCUCUUGCCCUGCCCAGCCCUGCUGCAGGUCCCUCCUCACACAUCCCACCCGCGUCCUGGUGCUCUGGGAGAGGCGUGGGAUGGAAUUCUUUGUCCCCUCUGGCAAAGCACGGAGAAGGGUGAAAUGAAGGUGGGAAGAGAAGUGUGGAUUCACCGUGGAUAUCUCCCAAGGCUGAAUGAUGCUGGGACACCAGGAAGGGCUCCCCAGCCCUUUUUCCUCCCCCGCUGGGAGCACCAGCCCGGAGCUGGGAUUGGGAACAAACACCGUGUGCCCACUGACCCCCACUCUCACAGACUCCCGACCUUCCCAAAGCCAGGAACCUCCCUGGAGCUCUGUUCCCAGCAGGGAACACCCUGCCCAGCUCCUCUGGCUGCUGGGGACACUCCGAGCCCUCAGGGCCAGCCCGGCAGCCGGCCAAGGGCUUUUUAUCAACUGGCACCCAAAAGUCAAUCAGGAAGAUGCCGCCUGUUUUAAUUAACAGCAAUUUCGCUCUGCCGGGGGUGAGCCAC
rnacentral:lncRNA from 1 species